UACAGAGGUCCCAAGCGUUGUUCGGAUUCAUUGGGCGUAAAGGGUGCGUAGGCGGCGCGGUAAGUCGGGUGUGAAAUCUCGGGGCUUAACUCCGAAGCUGCAUUCGAUACUGCCGUGCUUGAGGACUGGAGAGGAGACUGGAAUUUACGGUGUAGCGGUGAAAUGCGUAGAUAUCAGGAGGAACACCGGUGGCGAAGGCGGUUCUCUGGGCAUUACCUGACGCUGAGGAGCGAAAGUGUGGGGAGCGAACAGG
rnacentral:rRNA from 1 species